GCAGCCGUCUGAACUAACUCCUAUGGUAGAUGAUACAAUAAUAAAUUGUUUAUGUUAUAGAAGAAAAAUAAGAUUUUGGAAAAGCCAUUAUAAAGAUGAUUACGCUCGUUUUUUGUUUACUUUUGUUUAUAUUUGAUGCCCAUGGCACGACCAGUAACAUUGUACCAGCACAUAUGAAGCAUCUUGGCCCCCGAGAAGCCUAUUGGAACCUUUUGGAAACGAUGUAUUAUAAUCCUUACCAUGAUUUUUCUUGGCUUUUGAUGUCUAUCAUGUCGACGGAUGGAGAGGCCAUGGGCAUAGACAUUUAGCUAAUUAUAUAAUUUUCUUUUAUAUCUCCUUUAUAUUAACAAA